UACGUAGGGUGCGAGCGUUGUCCGGAAUUACUGGGCGUAAAGAGCUCGUAGGUGGUUUGUCGCGUCGUCUGUGAAAUUCCGGGGCUUAACUUCGGGCGUGCAGGCGAUACGGGCAAUACUUGAGUGCUGUAGGGGAGACUGGAAUUCCUGGUGUAGCGGUGGAAUGCGCAGAUAUCAGGAGGAACACCGAUGGCGAAGGCAGGUCUCUGGGCAGUAACUGACGCCGAGGAGCGAAAGCAUGGGUAGCGGACAGGAUUAGAUA
rnacentral:rRNA from 1 species